ensembl:lncRNA
AUGGAUCAUGAGGACGAGCGGGGAAGGGUCUGCCCGCUGAGCAGAUUACAUAACAAAUAUCCGAGGGAGAAGGGGGAGAACGCAGGCUGGUGUCAGGACUGCCGGAGCCUCCGGCAAGCACAAAACAACAGCCUGUCUAUGGAGAGAACCGGAGCAAGGAAACAGGCGCUGACCCCUCAGCUUCCUCAGAGCACACCCUACACUGGAUGGGACCUGCUGGGCACUGCAGCCGGAGAUGUAACUGGCACCAGGAACCUCCCUUCAUCUUGUCCCUGUCCCACAGCUCUUCACCCGUGGGUGUCUUUUUGCCGACUGGUCUGAUUACUGACGAGAAUCUGGUGAUUGGGGAUGAAAGAAGUUCGGGUCUCCUCUACACGUCUGUUUUCUUCCUGCUUCCUUUCUUGCCUUCUGCCUCCUCCUCCUCCUCCCAUGUCUUUCCAGCAAAGCACAGGAUACCCAGAUGGCUUGGGCCAGGCUGAAGGCACAGCCGUAGCCAGCAACCAGUCACCCGAGCCCUGCUGCCUUCGGCCCCUGCCGGCCCAGCCAGUGCGGGUCCCUGCUGCCUGGUGCCCACCCCGCCCGCCCGGCAGCUCCGAUUUUCAGCUUGGGUUUGAUCGGCUGCCAGGAUCUCCCAAAUGUCAGCUGCAACGUUAGCAUCUUUAAGAGAGCGCCCGAGGCGAUCUUUAAGCUGGGAGGCUGGGCCCCAUGCUGAUGAGAGGAGUCUGCUCCGAGCUGACAGCUCUGCCUCCUGCCUUCCCGGCCUUGGUUCUGGGGGCCUGUGGCCCCCAUUCUUCGGGCUGGACAGCAGCAAGACUCUUUUUUGAACCUGGGUGAAGCAGGGCUUUGCCAGCUGAGAUCAGUCCCUACAGCAGCCCCCACCAGGGAGCCCCAAGAAGGAGGGGAGAGGCCUAACCCAGAGAGGGAGUGGAUACAUAUUUGUUAACCGAAUGGCUGCAUGAACCUCCAAAGCUGCCUUAGAGGCGAGUGCUGACGGCGCUUUCUGCCCUGCCAUCACCUUCAGGAGGAGAUACUCAGGGUGGGGACAUGGGCAAAGGUGCCCAACUCUGGCUAGGGGCCUGGGCCAGUGUCCCAGAUCUAGCACGUGGGAGCUGUGUGACCUUGGAGAAGUUGCCAGCCCUCUCUGAGCCUCAGCUUUCCCAUCAGUGAAAAUGUGGGCUAGGGGAUAGAAUGCCAGAAUGCCAGCUGCGUAGAGUUGUUGGGGAAUCCAGGGAGAUGAAGAGAUAGGAACACCUGCUACCUUGCAGACACAUAGUAGGUACUCAAGGAAGUCAGUCCUUUCCUCUUCCCCCUCCUCCCUUCCCUCUUCCCCCUCCUCCCUUCCCUCUUCCCCCUCCCCCAGGGCUUUUUUUUUUUUUUUUGAGAUGGAGUCUCGCUCUGUCACCCAGGCUGGAGUGCAGUGGCCGAUCUCAGCUCACUGCAAGCUCCUCACCCGGUUUACACCAUUCUCCUGCUCCUUCAGCCUCCCGAGUAGCUGGGACUACAGCUCACCACCUCGGCCCCUGGCUAGUUUUUUGUAUUUUUUAGUAGAGACGGGUUUCACCAGCACAGGGAUGGUCUCUCGAUCUCCUGACCUCUGAUCCACUGCCUCGGCCUCCCAAAGUGCUGGGAUUACAGGCUUGAGCCACCGCGCCCCGCCCCCCCCAGGGCUUUCUAUUCCCUGUCACUGAAGGGCUGAAGGGCUGUCACUGUCUGAAGCCUCCAUGUUUUCCCCUCCAACCCUCAGAAGGACAAGGGCGAUGAUUCUUACUCUCUGUUGUCCAGGGCCACACAGCAGGUCGGAAGCAGAUGUGGAGGCUGCCCAGUUCCAGACCAGCUUGUCCUGCUAGUGCCUGGUCCCAGGACUGGCUCAAGUGCCCAUGGCAUGCUCCCCUGUGCCCUGCUAAUCGUUGUCCCUUUGCAGGGUGGUGAGGCUCUGGGAGUGAGCUAGUGGCUUGUUCUUUUUCCACAUUUUUGAGGCCUCUCUCGGGACUGAAAUACCCAGGUGGAGAAGUGAGUGACUCGGGAAAGGAAGGAAGGCAAAGAACCCAGAGUCUAAUUCCCACCCAAGUGGAGGUGAGGCGGGAAGGAGGGGGCGCUUGAACCUCUUACGUGGGAGUUGCAGCCUUGGUGGGACCUGUCAGAACUGGUGUGCUAAGCCAGGGGUGGGAGUCGGUGACUUCCACAGGGACAGCAUCAGCAGCCAGCUCACAGAAGCAUAUGUUUCAGAACCAAAAGGUGUAGGAGCAAGGCUCAGAAUAAAGAUAAAAUGAAUGGAUGGUGGGCGGGUGGUAGGUGGAUGGAUGGAAACGUGUGGAUUGAGACUGGGUGAAUGGGUGAUGGUUGGCUGGAUGGAUGGAUGAUGGAUGUGUGGGUGAAUGGAGGGUGGAUGGCUAUAUGAGUGGGUGGUGAGUGGAUGAGUGUGUGGGUGAGUGCACAAAUAGGUGGAUGGAUGGGUAGAUGGAUGGAUGGAUGAGUAGAUGGAUGGAGGAUGGAUGGAUGGAUGGAUGGACGAGUGGAGGGUAGAUGACUAUAUGGGUAUGGUGGAGUGGAAGGAAGAGCAUGGAGCCAGAAUGGAGCCAUAGUGGAACGGAAUAUGGAAAUGCCCAUAAUGGAAUGGCUGGAACGCAUGGAUAAAUGGCAGAGACCAUCUUGCGGCCGGGGUGGAUUCUAAUCCUAGUUCUCACACUUGGUUCUGUGGGAUCUAAAGCAAGUCACCACGCCUCCCUAAGUCUUAUUUUUUUCUAUCUGAAAACAGAUAUAACAGCAGCAUUCACCUUCUAUGAUAGCCAGGAGGCCCCAUGAUAAAAUGCAUGUGGGUCUGGCAUGGUGGCUCAUGCCUAUAAUCCCAAUACUUUGGGAAGCCAUAGCAGGAGGAUCACUUGAACCCAGGAGUUUGAGACCAGCCUGGGCAACAUAGGAAGACCCCAACUCUACAAAAAAUUAAAAAAAAAAAAAAUUCCCGGCUACUGGGGAGGCUGAGGUGGGAGGGUCGUGUAAACCUGGGAGGUUGAAGCUGCAGUGAGCCGUGAUUGCACCACUGCACUCCAGCCUGGGUGACAGAGCCAGACCCUGUUUCAAAACAAAACAAAGCAAAAACCACACAUGUGAGGCCCAGAGCAGGGCUUCCUAAGUGGUGCCUAGGGAGGCAGCGUGGCUCUUGCUAUCACUCAUCCCUUUGAUCCAAAACCACUUCCUGCUUGUAAAAAAAUGCGAGUGUCACUUCUGUCUC